GGCCCCGUAGCUCAAAUUGGAUAGAGCAGAGGUUUCCUAAACCUUUGGUUGGACGUUCGACUCGUCUCGGGGCCA
rnacentral:tRNA from 5 species